UCGAAGAUAAAUCAUAUACAGUAUAUAAUUUUACGUUUUUUUUCCGAGGAGGUCUUAGUUGCGCAAUUUUACAUCUCUAACCAAGAUGUUUGGUGCAGUAUUUCACAAGUGACAAAAUGUGCAUGAAAACUAGUCGUCUCUCGUUGAAUGGCAACAAACUCUUUGUUGAAGACUCCUUCCCCUAAUUCCCACUUCUACUAGGAGUAGUACUGCUAACCAAUCUCUUAUGAAGAGGCGGUAGACUCAAGAAAACUUGCCUCAAGAAAAAUAGACGGGUGCAACUUUGCUUAACUGAGCUCAAGGCUAGAAAUCAACACAUCUGAAGAAAUAUAAAUGAAAAUGAAAGAUGCCAUCUCUUCUAGAAAGAGCCCAGAUGUUACAUCAUCCCGACAACCCUCAGAUUUGACCACUUUCCAGAAUGUAGCUGGAUUUCCACCACUCUCAGCUACACAAUUCAAGAAGCGAAAGAUUUAUGGCUCCUCCUGGACCAGGCUCAAAUCCCUGUCAUUCACACGAAGAGGAGACCCCGAUACAGGGGGCGCAGAUCCUGGUGCUUGGUGAGAAUUUGUCAGCGAAUGGAUAAUCCGCCUUUACCAUCCAUCCUACUGGCAAAUUUGCAAUCACUUGAGAAUAAACUGGAUGAGCUCCGUUCGGGACUAUCCUACCAACGGGGCCUUAAAAACUGUAAUAUCUUAUGAUUCACCGACAUGGAUAAUAUACAGUUGGCUGGCUUUUCUGUGCAUUGGCAAGAACAUCAACCUCUGGUAAGACAAAGGGUGGCAUUAGAUGCAUGCUUAGUUCCCUCCUAUACUCCCUGUUCACCCACGAUGGCCACGCACGACUCCAACACCAUCAUUAAGUUUGCCGAUGACACAACAGUGGUAGGUAGGCCUGAUCACCGACAACAAUGAGACAGCAUA